UAUCCCUACGGGACGCAGCAGUGAGGAAUAUUGGUCAAUGGGCGGGAGCCUGAACCAGCCAAGCCGCGUGAGGGAAGAAGGUACAGCGUAUCGUAAACCUCUUUUGUCAGGGAACAAAGGCGGGGACUAGUCCCCGGAUGAGGGUACCUGAAGAAAAAGCAUCGGCUAACUCCGUGCCAGCAGCCGCGGUAAUACGGAGGAUGCGAGCGUUAUCCGGAUUUAUUGGGUUUAAAGGGUGCGUAGGCGGAAGGUUAAGUCAGCGGUCAAAUGUCGGUGCUCAACACCGGCCUGCCGUUGAAACUGGU
rnacentral:rRNA from 1 species